rnacentral:rRNA from 1 species
GAUGAACGCUGGCGGCGUGCCUAAUACAUGCAAGUCGAACGGUCAGACGACGAGCUUGCUCGUCUGAGGUUAGCGGCGGACGAGUGAGUAACAAGAGGAUAAUAAACUUCUCCGUCUGGGAUAACAACGGGAAGCCGGAGCUAAUACCGGAUGAUAUAUUGAACCGCAUGGUUCAAUGGUGAAAGACGGUUUUGGUGUCACUUGUGGAUGGAUCCGCGGCGCAUUAGCUAGUUGGUAAGGUAACGGCUUACCAAGGCAGCGAUGCGUAGCCGACCUGAGAGGAUGGUCGGCCAUACUGGAACUGAGACACGGCCGAGACGCCUCCUGGAGGCAGCAGUAGGGAAUAUUACACAAUAGGCGACAGCCUGACGGAGCAGCGCCGCGUGGGUGAUGAAGGUGUUCGGAUGGUUAUGCACUUUUAUUAGGAGAGAAGAAAGGUGGAAUUGUCUGUGCAUGUGUUGACGGUAGCUAAACAAGAAGCGACGGCUAACUACGUG